rnacentral:rRNA from 1 species
UACGUAGGGUGCAAGCGUUGUCCGGAAUUAUUGGGCGUAAAGAGCUCGUAGGCGGUCUGUCACGUCGGAUGUGAAAACUCGGGGCUCAACCCCGAGCCUGCAUACGAUACGGGCAGACUUGAGUUCGGCAGGGGAGACUGGAAUUCCUGGUGUAGCGGUGAAAUGCGCAGAUAUCAGGAGGAACACCGGUGGCGAAGGCGGGUCUCUGGGCCGAUACUGACGCUGAGGAGCGAAAGCCAGGGGAGCAAACGGG